rnacentral:lncRNA from 1 species
CGGCACCCACCGGCCCAGAGCUGCCCGACGCGGCUUGGGCGGACCCCGCCGCCCGGGUGCCUGGGCACGAUUCCAGGGAUCCAGGGUAAAGCGGUUCGCGCGGGAACAGGAGGAUAUGUCAGGCACAGGCUAUUCCCCAUCACUAUAGCCACAGAGGACUGGUCCAGAUGCGGAUCCCGAUCUGUGCUUCUUCAGGUGUUCGCGUGCUUUCGAUGGUUGGAUACCAAGAAAGCUGCUCAGGAAACCUUAC